UACGUAGGUGGCAAGCGUUGUCCGGAUUUAUUGGGCGUAAAGCGAGCGCAGGCGGUUUCUUAAGUCUGAUGUGAAAGCCCCCGGCUCAACCGGGGAGGGUCAUUGGAAACUGGGAGACUUGAGUGCAGAAGAGGAGAGUGGAAUUCCAUGUGUAGCGGUGAAAUGCGUAGAUAUAUGGAGGAACACCAGUGGCGAAGGCGGCUCUCUGGUCUGUAACUGACGCUGAGGCU
rnacentral:rRNA from 1 species